CUUAUUGUCACCCCUGUUUUGUGAAACUCUUCGGCUGAUGGAGAUACGUUUAGUACUAUAGUCAACUUAUGAAGGCUUUUGUUACGAUAUAUAUACAUGAAUUAUAUUGUAUUUUUAUAUGACAUAUCUAUAUAUCUUUAUCUCUAUUUGGAAACCAUUAUUUUUACAUUUCAUAAUUGCUGUUAAUUCACACCAGUUGAUUGAUUUCUUGCUUGUUAGAUUUAUUUCUUUAGCAUAUUUUGUAGACUGCCAGAAGAAUCUUUUUAUCCUGCUUCGAUAUAAGUGAUCAAGUAAUUGUUUUAUCUAUUUCGCUUCAAGUCACUGGAGUCAGAAAAGUUCAUUCACAGACUCAGUAUUCAUCCUGUACAUUCUGUUCUUGCAUGUGGCUAAUGAGUGGAGUAUGAUUAUGUUCCUUUUUCUUGGGUCCCCAGAAAAUUGGUAUCCUUCUUUGGGAUAACACAGAAUUACUAAAGAAUGAUGUAAAUGUAUUUUGUAAUCUAGUAACAAGAUGAAAGUAUGCCCACCAUUUGCAAAAGAUUUAGGAAGUGUUUGUUGCUGCUUACUCAUGAGACACAUGUUAACAUAUUACUUUUAUACAACGGCUUGAAACUAUUAUAGCCAGUUUAUAUACAAAGCUUUCAUAAGGUUUUGUGGGUACAAUCCCAUGGUGACCUAAAAAGAGACACUUUAAGGGAAGGUUGAAUUACCUUUCUCUUUGCUGCUGAGAGAGAAGACAGAGCUUCAAGACUUGGAUUCCAUGUUUUACCUGAAUGGAGACCAUGUUUGUCCAGAUACUAGUAGCCACCACAAUCUUUAUCAGAACAGUUUAUCCAUCAACAUUUAUUUUAUAUUGCUUGUGAUAUACAUGUACUUGUGUCCAACAUCUUGAUAAUAAAUUAAGAUAUUGC
rnacentral:misc_RNA from 1 species